AUACGGAGGAUCCGAGCGUUAUCCGGAUUUAUUGGGUUUAAAGGGUGCUCAGGCGGGCCAUUAAGUCGGCGGUGAAAUUUUGCGGCUCAACCGUAAAAGUGCCUUCGAUACUGGUGGUCUUGAGUGUGGAUGAGGUAGGCGGAAUUUGUGGUGUAGCGGUGAAAUGCAUAGAUAUCACGAGGAACUCCGAUUGCUAAGGCAGCUUACUAAGCCAUAACUGACGCUCAAGCACGAAGGCGUGGGGAUCAAACAGGAUUAGAUACCCUGGUAGUCCACGCAGUAAACGAUGAUUACUGGCUGUUUGCGAUAUAUUGUAAGCGGCUGAGCGAAAGCGUUAAGUAAUCCACCUGGGGAGUACGUUCGCAAGAAUGAAACUCAAAGGAAUUGACGGGG
rnacentral:rRNA from 1 species